UACGAAGGGGGCUAGCGUUGUUCGGAAUCACUGGGCGUAAAGGGCGCGUAGGCGGCUUUAUAAGUCGGGGUGAAAGCCUGUGGCUCAACCACAGAAUUGCCUUCGAUACUGUAGAGCUUGAGACCGGAAGAGGUAAGUGGAACUGCGAGUGUAGAGGUGAAAUUCGUAGAUAUUCGCAAGAACACCAGUGGCGAAGGCGGCUUACUGGUCCGGUUCUGACGCUGAGGCGCGAAAGCGUGGGGAGCAAACAGG
rnacentral:rRNA from 1 species